rnacentral:rRNA from 1 species
GGGAGGAAGGUGGGUUGUUGUGUUGCGUGUGGUGGCGGUUGGAUGGGCCAGCGGUUAAGGGAGAUGAGCUACCCUGGGGUUGACGGGCUUAUCUCCCCCGAGAGGUCGGCAGCGAGGGGUGGGUUUGGCACUUCGAUGUCGGUUCUUCGCGUCGUGGGGCUGUAGGCGGUCCCAAGGGUUGGGCUGUUCGCCCAUGAAAGCGGUACGCGAGCGGGGUUCAGAGCGUCGUGGGAUAGUUCGGUC